GGGGAUUUAGCUCAGUGGUAGAGUGCUUGCCUAGCAAGCGCAAGGCCCUGGGUUCAAUCCUCA
rnacentral:tRNA from 1 species